UCGAGUGAAACGAAAUUCAAGUCGGAUAAAUUUGUUCAAGUUAAAUUAAAAAAUUAAACAAACCAAAUUGAAAUCUUGUUAACAAUAUGACUAAAUUCCAAGUUAACAACAUAUAUCUCUAUUAUAACUAUUUUUGUGAUUGUAUGUAUAGUAUGCCUUAUACCGUUAAACCGAUCACAUAGAAAGCAUGACUUCAAUUACUGAAUUAAUUUUUCACAAGCAUACUAAUUGCUACGGAAUCGAACUAUUAUGAGCAUAUUAUUUGUUAGUGCAUUGUUUCAUUAAAGGCAUACUAAAUGCUAUUGUAUUGACCUAUUUUGAGCAUUACAUAUUGCAUUGCAUGGGGUGUGUAAGGCCCAAUUUUUGCCCGGGCCCGAUAACAAUAAAAAACCAAAUAAAAAAUAAUAAAAGUCCAACAUUAAACAGUCCAUAGUCCAAAAAUAAAAUCCAAAAUUAUAAGGCCCAAUUACAUUGAAGCUCGAAGCAGUUUUCAGAAAUCCCUAGGGUUUCUAGAGCAACAUCCAGCUCCCAGCGCCGCAGCAGCCAAGCCCUCCCCCGCGCGUGCUGCACCACCGCGCGCGUGCACUACCUCCAAGCCUGUACCUGCACAGCAAAGAUGGCAACAAACAGUAUAGGCAGAAUAGCAAGAAAAUCGAAAAAUCAGCGAGCAAAUGAUGCGUUUUAAAUUAGAUGUUUCUUACCUUUUUCUUUUUCCAUAGUCUGCUAUAAAAAGCAGACUCAAUACUGUAUCAGGGAUUCGGAAAAUCAAUAAAAAAAAUGAGUAUUUCACAACAUCAAUCAGAGAAAAAAGAAAGAUUAAAUAGAGAUUAAAGGUAGCGAUUUAUUUUCUUUGUUUCGUCUUUUCUUCGAUUUGAUUUAUUUUUUAGUACAAAAAAGUAAAGGGAAAGAAGAGGAAAUUACCUCUGCCUUCAGAUCCGUGUGAGAAAGAGCCAAAAAGCCCUUUAGGGUGAGGUUCUGACCACCGUUCACGGUGGAAUCAUGGCGGAGGCGCGGCGGCGUAUAAUAAAGCCGAAACCCUAGCAGAAAAAUAUUAAUUUUUUUUAUU
rnacentral:lncRNA from 1 species